rnacentral:rRNA from 1 species
GUGGGGAAUUUUGGACAAUGGGCGCAAGCCUGAUCCAGCAAUGCCGCGUGCAGGAAGAAGGCCUUCGGGUUGUAAACUGCUUUUGUACGGAACGAAACGGUCCUGGUUAAUACCUCGGAGGGAUGACGGUACCUGAAGAAUAAGCACCGGCUAACUACGUGCCAGCAGCCGCGGUAAUACGUAGGGUGCGAGCGUUAAUCGGAAUUACUGGGCGUAAAGCGUGAGCAGGCGGUUUUGUAAGAUCGAUGUGAAAUCCCCGGGCUCAACCUGGGAACUGCAUUGGUGACUGCAAGGCUGGAGUGCGGCAGAGGGGGAUGGAAUUCCGCGUGUAGCAGUGAAAUGCGUAGAUAUGCGGAGGAACACCGAUGGCGAAGGCAAUCCCCUGGGCCUGCACUGACGCUCAUGCACGAAAGCGUGGGGAGCAAACAGGAUUAGAUACCCUGGUAGUCC